rnacentral:rRNA from 1 species
UACGAAGGAUGCAAGCGUUAUCCGGAUUCAUUGGGUUUAAAGGGAGCGUAGGUGGCCUUAUAAGUCAGUGGUGAAAUCUCUCAGCUUAACUGAGAAAUUGCCAUUUGAUACUGUAGGGCUUGAGUAUAGUUGCCGUUGGCGGAAUAUGACAUGUAGUGGUGAAAUACAUAGAGAUGUCAUAGAACACCGAUUGCGAAGGCAGCUGACGAAACUAUAACUGACACUGAGGCUCGAAAGUGCGGGGAUCAAACAGG